rnacentral:misc_RNA from 1 species
GAAAUGCGAUACCUGGUGUGAAUUGCAGAAUCCCGCGAACCAUCGAGUCUUUGAACGCAAGUUGCGCCCGAGGCCACUCGGUCGAGGGCACGCCUGCCUGGGCGUCACGCCAAAACACGCUUCCAACCCCCUCAUCGGGGAUCGGGAUGCGGCAUAUGGCCCCUCGUCUCGCAAGGGACGGUGAGCCGAAGAUCGGGCUGCCGACGUAUCGUGUCGGACACAGCGCAUGGUGGGCGUCUUUGCUUUAUCAGCGCAGUGCAUUCGACGCGUAGCCGCAUGAUGGCCUAAAAAAGACCCAGCUAACGGAGCGCAUGUCGCUUCGAUCGCGACCCCAGGUCAGGCGGGACUACCCGCUGAGUUUAA